GAUGAACGCUGGCGGCGUGCCUAAUACAUGCAAGUCGAGCGAACGGACGAGAAGCUUGCUUCUCUGAUGUUAGCGGCGGACGGGUGAGUAACACGUGGAUAACCUACCUAUAAGACUGGGAUAACUUCGGGAAACCGGAGCUAAUACCGGAUGAUAUUUUGAACCGCAUGGUUCAAAAGUGAAAGACGGUCUUGCUGUCACUUAUAGAUGGAUCCGCGCUGCAUUAGCUAGUUGGUAAGGUAACGGCUUACCAAGGCAACGAUGCAUAGCCGACCUGAGAGGGUGAUCGGCAACACUGGAACUGAGACACGGUCCAGACUCCUACGGGAGGCAGCAGUAGGGAAUCUUCCGCAAUGGGCGAAAGCCUGACGGAGCAACGCAGCGUGAGUGAUGAAGGUCUUAGGAUCGUAAAACUCUGUUAUUAGGGAAGAACAAAUGUGUAAGUAACUAUGCACGUCUUGACGGUACCUAAUCAGAAAGCCACGGCUAACUACGUG
rnacentral:rRNA from 1 species